UUUUGUUUCAGAACAUAAUAAACGUACCAGCUACUAAUAAAUAAUUUAAAAAAAUGGCGCACACUGAAAACGAUUAUGAUAAAAUGGUGCGAGACGUUCAGCUGCUGCUGCAGCAGCAGCAGCAAGAGCAGCACCGAUUGCAGAUGCAGCAGCUGUAGGAACAGCAGCGUCAACAAUUGCAGCAACUGAGGGAAGAGCUCCUCCCUCAGGUGCAAGACAUGGAAACAGGGGAUAAUGAUUCGAAACCACCUCGAAAAAGAGGAGUAGCGGCAGGGAGAUCCCGGCGUUUGCGGAGGUACAGGGGGG